CGGUUUCGAAAAUAGAAACGUUAACAUAUUUUCCGCUACAGAUCUCACGGAAAACUCAACUGAAAAGCAUUUGAUCCCGGCAUACGCGAAUCGGACUCAUUGGUGUGUGGUCGGUGUGUGAAAAAUUUGCGACAGUUAGAACAUCCAAUCAUUUAAAAUGCCAAGCCAGGCUAGCGAAGGAAAAAGUUUAAUAACGACGUAUCUAAUUCUCAUAGCACUGUUACUAGUGUUAUGGGCGCUUUACUCUGGAAUGUUUUAAAAUGAUCGUCUGACCCAUCGCAUCGCAAUUUCAUCAUUCACGGGCAUCAUCCCCCUUGUAUCACGGUGGGAGGAAAUAUGCAAUAUGUAAUUCAAAUUUAUUUGUACUUUUAUAAUUUUUAAGACAUAAAUUGUAUUAAAGUUUACAUUAUAUUAUAAGACAAAAUAAAUAGAUUUUGUUUUAA